UGUCUGAGGUUGUAUCUUUGAUUCUUCAUUUCUAACAAUCUCCCAGCUGAGACUGAUGCUACCCAUUCAUGGACCACCCUUGGAGUACAAAGCAGUCAGAGCAUAAAGUUAAGAGACAGGAAGUAUGGAGAAAUGAGGCUCGCACAGCUUGGUCUAGUGUGCUAAUUAGUUUUGAUUAUAUCCUGCAGGUGAUGGGAAGCCAUUGAAGAGAUGGAAGGAGUUAAAUGAUCAUGCGUGUUUUUAGAAGUAUCUUCUGAAUGGAGGGUUGCAGCGUAAGAAGUCCUAAAAUGGGAACCAUUCCGGGGAGAGGCGAGCAGGCUUUUCUGUGGGGUUUGGAGGAAUGGUUAUGAAUGGAAAGAUCAUUGAGGAAAGUGAGAAAGGAGCUACCCAGACAGAAACUGUCAGGCUGAAGGGCAAUGGUGAAUCUGUAAUGUCUGUGGGAAUAUGGGAUCAUCUUGUGCCAGAUGUUCUAUGCACAAACAUCCUGAGACUGCUCAAAUAUACCAGCCAACGAUUUGACUGCAUUGGAUAUGCCUGUUGUUUUUUUGAUGACAUAAAUCCAUUUGAAAAUUUGAUCAUGCCAACACCUUCAGGCAAGUUUGGACCAUAGGAGGGCACAGAGAGAGCAUCUAGGCUUGUUUUUUUCCAGGAAGCACAAUCUCAGCCCUUGGAUAUCAGCUCUGCUGUUUUUCCAAAAGAUGUUGGCGAUGCAUGAGUUAAACCACACGCCCUUUUAUUUGACGGAAUGGAGAUGAAAUAUGUAGCUUACUGUCUGUAAAAGAACAUGAGAGAUUGAAGUAAUGCAAAAAGUCUAAAGGACGAAACUUUGGAAUUCUUAAAUAGAAUCUGAACACAUUUGUAUCCUGAGAGCUAAGUUCAAAGCCUGUGAAAUAAUUCUUGAAUGUGUGAGUUAAUGAAAGAAAAUUCAAUUUUUUUAAAGGGUGGAAAUUCUUGACUGAAAAACUAAGUAACUGAGUAAACACAUUACACAAACUUACUGGGAUGUCUGCAGGUGCCGCAAGGGAUGCCGAACACAGUGACAAGGGAAAAGGAGUUGGAGACUGGGAAUUGCCUUCAGAGUAAGAGAAAAACAGAAGAAAAAAGUGCAGAGCAGGAGGAGGGAGGAUGGGGCAGGGCUCUUAUCUGGCAGAGUGAUUUGAACUCUCUGAAUGUAAAUGAAGAUAACAGCAUAUCCUUAAAGUCACCUCCAUCGCCCUGGCUAAGAUUCUGGACAGAUAAAAUGCAUACCUGUUAGCCAUGAAGGCGGCAUCUUCAUGUAGUCUCAGCUACUAAAGAGGCUGAGGCAGGAGACUUGUUUAAGCCCAGGAGUUCGAGGCUGCAGUGAGCUAUAAUUGCACCACUGCUCUCCAACCUGGGCGACAGAGCAAGACCCUGCCAUAAACAAACAAACAAACACAAAAUAAGAAAGAAAAGAACAGAAAGAAAGAAAGAAGUAAGAAAGAAAGAAAAGAAAGAAAGAAAGAAAGAAAGAAAGAAAAGAAAAGAAAGAAGAAAGAAAGAGCAAAGGAAAAUGGCCUGGCAAUAGAGUAAAACUUUCUCUUUAAAAAAAAAAGAAGAAAAGAAAAAUAGAAAAACAAAACAAAGCCACUGGGGGCUCCAAAAAAUGGAGGGUGGGAGAAGGUUAAGAAUUGAAAAAUUAUCUUUGUGUGCAAUGCUCAUUAUUUGGAUAUGGAUUCACUAAAAGCCCAAACCCCAGCAUUAUGCCGUAUACCCAUGUAACAAACCUGCACAUGUAUUCCCUG
ensembl:lncRNA